UGUAAGCGUAUACCAAAGUUGUUGCAGUUAAAACGCUCGUAGUCGGAAUUUGGCAGUUCCGGAUGUGUGCGCGUCGUGUGCGCACUUCGCGGGGAUUGCUUUUGUGGUCUUGCGUAGGAUGAGGCACUUUUAUUAGUGAACGUCCUCACGCAACCACUUUUUACUGUGAGAAAAUCAGAGUGCUCAAAGCAGGCAUUUGCCGUGAAUGUAUUAGCAUGGAAUAAUAGAAUAGGACUUGGUUCUAUUUUGUUGGUUUGUUGGGACUGAGUAAUGAUUAAGAGGGACAGUUGGGGGCAUUUGUAUUUCGGUGCUAGAGGUGAAAUUCUUAGAUUACCGAAAGACAAACUGCUGCGAAAGCGUCUGCCAAGGAUGUUUUCAUUGA
rnacentral:rRNA from 1 species